CUCUACUGAUAUGUUUUAUUCUACUCUAUUUCAUUUUUUAAAAUGCUGACUGGGACCCCCUAAAUUGAUUUCGCCAGUCUUUAAUGUUUUGACUGCAGUUUAAAAACCACUGGGAUAGCAAUCCUGGUGGACCACUUUAUUAAGACAGAAACACAUUGUUGCCAUUAUAAAAUAAAAUCAGAGAUGGAAACCAGGAAAGAUAAAGGCACAUGGUGAAAGCUGAGAAACUGUCUUCUGAAAUUAAAAAAAAAAUUAAAGGAUGGGGGCAAGCCAAAAACUUUGAGAAUAUGGUUGCAAUGCAAAUAAGUGAGAAUUUGUCUUCAGAAUAUUUAAAGGACUCAAGUAAGAAAAAGACGUGAAAGAAGCAAAACGAGCAAAGAUAUGAAUAGAGAAGUCACAGAAAAAGAAACCCACAGGGGUAAUAAGCGUAUGAAAGGAUGCUCUACCCUACCAGUAGACAGGAAAGAACAGAACCUGGAAUUAUUAAAACUUCAGAAACUUGGAGGAGGGACCCUGGAGAUCUGAAACUCAGACUUUUGAUAAGGGGUGCCAGUUGGCUGGUGCUGGUAUUCUGAGCAGGGAUGCAAUAAAGCAGCUUUUUCAAACAUUAGAAAGUUGCAACGUGGAUUCAGCUGCCACUAAGGGAAGGAACAUCUGCUACCAGGGUGAAUUAGUUACUGGUGUGAGCUCGACAUGGAGCCAGGUAAGAAGGCAGGAAUAUGGUUUGCAGAGACCUAGCCUUAGACAGGAAGCUGACUUUAGAAGGUAGAGGGUUGGAGCCAAGGGCGAAGCCUAACUCCCACAGUCAGUUCUAUUGGUUAAUCAGCAUUUAUAUUUAAACUUCCAUACUCAAAAGAAAAAAUGGGCCAGGCGUGGUGGCUCACACCUGUAAUCCCAGCACUUUGGGAGGCUGAGGCAGGCAGAUUACCUGAGGUCAGGAGUUCAAGACAUGGUAGCACACGCCUGUAAUCCCAACUACUUGGGAGGCUGAGGUAGGACAAUUGCUUGAGCCUGGGAGACAGAGGUUGCAGUGAGCCAAGGUUGUGCCACUGCACUCCAGCCUGGCUGACAGAGUGAGACU
rnacentral:lncRNA from 10 species